GGUCAAUGAUGACUAGUAAAAGGUCUGAGUGCACAGGGGAAUUACACUCCAUUACCCUCCUGGCUCCCAGCAGUCCCUGUUCUGUCAUGCCAUAGUAGAGCUGUGAUUGAGGAAGAGAUUGCUGACAGUUUGGGAUUAAUUCAGUUCCAGUUCUCCACAGUGAAGGGAGUUGUGGCACUGAAUGUUAUCCAACAGAACUGGUUAAGAGGAGCUUGUGGUAGUGGGGUGUCUUCAUUUGUUGUGUGUGAUCUAAAGUUUUCAAGCUGAGACC
ensembl:scaRNA